CGUUGCUCAUUCAACUGGUUAUGAUUGCGCUGCUGAUUGGCAGAUAAAUUCGCUCAUAACAUCCGGAAUGACGCCAAAAGAAAGGGUGCCUAUCGUCCACCAGAUCGAUAACCGUACGCGCAAGCCGACUUUAUCAAACAUCGGGCGACACGUUGAGUGAGGCACCGCCUA
rfam:Brenneria sp. EniD312 chromosome, whole genome shotgun sequence.